AUACUUACCUGGCACAGGAGUUAACGUUGAUCAUCAAGGACGUUCUCCCAGGGCGAGGCCUUUCCAUUGCACUUCGGUUGGGCUGACCCUUGCGAUCACCCCAAAUGUGGGUGACUCGGGUGCAGCAUUUAUGGUAGUGGGGGACUGCGUACGCGCUUUCCCCUU